GCUCUCCGGAAGUCCGCGGGAUGUCAGGAUUCACUCUGAGAGGGCUCCGUUGACCUGAAGCUGCUUUCGCCAUAGUCUUGGAGGUAGCGGGAGGAUUCUCAUCCGGGAAGUUCUUACAAAGAAACUACUGUGUCGUCGUGGGAAACUAGGUCAGGAAAGCUACUGGAGCCUUGUAGGGGAGUGGCUUGAGUUGAGAAAGCUCCCUUCUGAACGCCCAAAAGAAAUCCAACCCCUGUUAUUACCGUCUUUUACAGUUUAACGAGCUUUCCCCUGGAGACGUCUUAUUUUACCUUCGAGACUGCUCCCUCAAUCCAGCAUCCAAGGAACUCAGAGCAGGAGCUCAAAACAGGACCCUGGAGGCAGGAGCUGAAGCAGAAGCCAUGAAGAAAUGUUGCUUACUGGCUUGUUCUCACAGCUUGCUCAGCCAACUUUCUUAUACACCCCAGGAACACCAGCCCAGGAGUGUCAUGACCUACAGGCUGUCUUAAAGGUAUGACAUCAUUAGAGACUAUAACUCCAAGUCUGGAAUGGAGCAUCUCUGGCUACUUGACUGUUCCUUUGAGUCACCAUGAACCCUUUUGGAAUUGUACCAGAACAACCAAAGAAGCAGCAGACAUUCCAGUCUUCUCGCCUAGAAUUCGAAUGUAGCAGAAACAUCUGCCUUCUUCCUUUACUACUAUGCCCUAUAUCUAAGUGAGCAUUAAUCCAUAUAGAAUUAUAUAUAUGUAGUAUAUCCCAUAAUGGAGACUAUAUCAAACUUGCAUCUUUUGCUGCCAGGUUUCUAACUGUACAAAUAAGUUUUGAUCAGUAAAAUAAAUAAAGAAGGUUUCCUGAUUGUU